CGAUUAUCACCAAUUGUCGGCCACCAUCACUGGUUCAACUUCACAGCAGAGAAAUCAACGUCACCACCUUCAUCCGCCAUCACCACCGUAUACCAUCCUCACCAUAGUCCCACCGAACCACCUCAGAACAACUGAAAGGUCAUUUCCUGAACAUUUCCAUAGGAGCAGCCUCCUUACAAUCACACGAACCAAGAAAUAAGAAGAAAAAGGGAUAAGGAGGUUUCCUUGUUGAAGACGAUGAAUAAUGGCAGUAGGUUGUAAGCUCGGAUGAAUUAGGUUGCACAAGUGGAGGGCUCUACGAAGAGAAAUGUAGAGACAACCUCUUUUUUUCGUGGGUAACCAAAAACCAAGGAAUCUAAUUUCUUUCAUUUUGUUUCCUUUAAUCAACAACUUCAUAAAACAAUGAGAUGAAAUAUCCUUCCUCAUUUGUUCUUUCUUCAUCUCUUUCUGGUUCGAGGUUUAGAUUUUUUGUGUCGGUUGUAACAGGUAGGGCAGAAGUGGUGGUGAUGUUGGUUGGAAUGAAAACGAAAAAAAAAAACAUGAAAGACGCACACAACCUGUUUGAUGAAAAUCCUCAAAGAUUUUAUUGUUGUUCUUGGCUUAAGAAUAGGGGUUGUUUGAACCAUACUUUUUGCUAGAGUUUAUUGAACAUGGAUGUUGAUAGGAGAAUUGUGUUGGGUUAUUUGUUUAUCAAAAAAUUUCUUACCAGAUUGAAUCUUGUUGACUGAUUAUCAACAUUCUAACUCGUGAUUGUGUUUAACCAUCAAGUUUAGUUCU